rnacentral:rRNA from 1 species
CCUUGACGGUACCUAACCAGAGCCACGGNUAACUACGUGCCAGCAGCCGUGUAAUACGUAGGUGGCAAGCGUUGUCCGGAAUUAUUGGGCGUAAAGCGCGCGCAGGCGNUCCUUUAAGUCUGAUGUGAAAGCCCACGGCUCAACCGUGGAGGGNCAUUGGAAACNUGGGNGACUUGAGUCCAGAAGGGAGCNGGAAUUCCACGUGUNGCGGUAAAAUGCCGUAGAGAUGUGAGACAC